rnacentral:rRNA from 1 species
GACGAACGCUGGCGGCGUGCUUAAUACAUGCAAGUCGAACGGAAAGGCCCUACUUUUGCGGGGUGCUCGAGUGGCGAACGGGUGAGUAACACGUGAGUAACCUGUCCUUGACUGUGGGGUAACUUCAGGGAACUGGGGCUAAUACCGGAUAGGAGCUCCUGCUGCAUGGUGGGGGAUGGAAAGUUUCGGCGGUGGGGGCUAGACUAGCUGCUUAUCAGCUUGUUGGUGGAGUAGUGGCUUACCAAGGCUUUGACGGGUAGCCCGCCUGAGAGGGUGGCCGGCGACCUUGGGACUGCGAGAGGGCCCAGACGCGUACGUGAGGCAACAGUGGGAAAUAUUGCACAAUAGGCGGGAGCCUGAUGUAGCAACGCCGCGUGCGGGAUAACGUGUUUCGGGGUGUAAACCGCUUUCGAAUGUGACGAACCCUGAGUGACGGUACUUGGUAAAAAAGCACCGGCUAACUACGUG